GCAUAAAGAAGCGAACAUUUCCCGGGACCAGAGUGUGCUGGUUGCCGUGGCAGCUAAUCUCUGUCCAUCACUGUGGAAACACACAAUGGGACCCAGGACAGCUGGAGCUGUGUGUGUGUUCGGGGGGAGAGCUUGUCUCUAUUUGUAAAGGAUAAUAUCCGAGGGUCUCCUGGUGUCUGCUGGAAAAGAGUCGUGCGGAGCGCAAUCUGUGUGUCGGAGUUGUUGAGAUUCACAGAGAGAAGCUCUUCUGAAAGCUAAUAAGAUGUCUACAGACACACAGCAUUUACGGCGUCAUAUUUGCAUCAGAUGCGAAGGCUGUUCCAGAAGCAGGGCAGAUCACUGGGAUUUGAAACGGAGCCAGAGAGAGAGAGAGAGAGAGCAGGAGGUGAUGCGAGGUAGUGACACAGGAGAAAAAUUACUCUGACCAUCUCUCCGAGGAGACACAAGGAAUUCUCUCCUCUGCCAGAUUCCCAGAAAAACUGACACACACACACAGAGAGAGAGAGAGA